rnacentral:rRNA from 1 species
AGUGAACGCUGGCGGCGUGCUUAACACAUGCAAGUCGAACGAGAACGGGCUAUAGCUUGCUAUAGUUGUCAGCUAAGUGGCGCACGGGUGAGUAAUGUAUAGGUAAUAUGCCUCUUACUAAGGGAUAACAAAUGGAAACGUUUGCUAAUACCUUAUACUCCUUAUUAACAGAAGUUAAUAAGGGAAAGAUUUAUUGGUAAGAGAUUAGCCUGUAUUGUAUCAGUUAGUUGUUGGGGUAAUGGCUUACCAAGACUAUGACACAUAACUGGUUUGAGAGGAUGAUCAGUCACACGGGAGCUGAGACACGGUCCAGACGCCUACGGGAGGCAGCAGUGGGGAAUAUUGCACAAUGGACGAAAGUCUGAUGCAGCAACGCCGCGUGGAGGAUGACACAUUUCGGUGCGUAAACUCCUUUUAUAUGAGAAGAUAAUGACGGUAUUAUAUGAAUAAGCACCGGCUAACUCCGUGCCAGCCGCCGCGGUAAUAC